UGCCCUAUGAUUGUUUAAAUGGCUGCAGUAUUAUGACUGUACAAAGGUAGCAUAAUCAAUAUGUUUCUUAAUUAGAAGCUGGAAUGAAUGAAUUAACGAAAAAUUUACUGUCUCUGAUUAAAAUUUUAAAAUUUUAUUUUUAAGUUAAAAAGCUUAAAUAUUAUUAAAAGACGAGAAGACCCUAUAGAGUUUUAUAUAUUUAUAUUAUAUUUAUAAAAGUAUAAUUAGAGUGUAUUUUAUUGGGGUGAUAAGAAAAUUUAAUUAACUUUUCUAUAUUUAAACAUUUUUAAUUGAAUUAUUGAUCCAUAUUAAUGAUUAAAAGAUUAAAUUACCUUAGGGAUAACAGCGUAAUAUUUUUUUAAAGUUCUUAUUAAAAGAAAUGAUUGCGACCU
rnacentral:rRNA from 1 species